rnacentral:rRNA from 1 species
UACGUAGGUGGCGAGCGUUGUCCGGAAUUACUGGGUGUAAAGGGCGUGUAGGCGGGGAUGCAAGUCAGAUGUGAAAUUCCGGGGCUCAACCCCGGCGCUGCAUCUGAAACUGUGUCUCUUGAGUGCUGGAGAGGAAAGCGGAAUUCCUAGUGUAGCGGUGAAAUGCGUAGAUAUUAGGAGGAACACCAGUGGCGAAGGCGGCUUUCUGGACAGUAACUGACGCUGAGGCGCGAAAGCGUGGGUAGCGAACAGG